rnacentral:rRNA from 1 species
AGGAUUAACGCUGGCGGCGUGCCUAACACAUGCAAGUCGAACGAGGUAGCAAUACCUAGUGGCAGACGGGUGAGUAACGCGUGGUCAACCUACCGUUGAGUGGGGGAUAACUAGCCGAAAGGUUAGCUAAUACCGCAUACGUCUCCGAGGGGCAUCCCUUGGCGAUAAAAGGAGCAAUCCGCUCGAUGACGGGACCGCGUCCCAUUAGCUAGAUGGUGGGGUAACGGCCUACCAUGGCACCGAUGGGUAGCUGGUUUGAGAGAGCGACCAGCCACACUGGGACUGAGAAACGGCCCAGACUCCUACGGGAGGCAGCAGUGAGGAAUUUUCCGCAAUGGGCGCAAGCCUGACGGAGCGACGCCGCGUGUGGGAAGAAGGCCUUCGGGUCGUAAACCGACUGUCGAAGGGGACGAUAAUGACGGUACCCUUGGAGGAAGCCCCGGCUAACUACGUGCCAGCAGCCGC